rnacentral:rRNA from 1 species
GAUGAACGCUGGCGGCGUGCCUAAUACAUGCAAGUCGAGCGAACAGACGAGGAGCUUGCUCCUCUGACGUUAGCGGCGGACGGGUGAGUAACACGUGGAUAACCUACCUAUAAGACUGGGAUAACUUCGGGAAACCGGAGCUAAUACCGGAUAAUAUAUUGAACCGCAUGGUUCAAUAGUGAAAGACGGUUUUGCUGUCACUUAUAGAUGGAUCCGCGCCGCAUUAGCUAGUUGGUAAGGUAACGGCUUACCAAGGCAACGAUGCGUAGCCGACCUGAGAGGGUGAUCGGCCACACUGGAACUGAGACACGGUCCAGACUCCUACGGGAGGCAGCAGUAGGGAAUCUUCCGCAAUGGGCGAAAGCCUGACGGAGCAACGCUGCGUGAGUGAUGAAGGUCUUCGGAUCGUAAAACUCUGUUAUUAGGGAAGAACAAAUGUGUAAGUAACUAUGCACGUCUUGACGGUACCUAAUCAGAAAGCCACGGCUAACUACGUG